rnacentral:lncRNA from 1 species
CAUGACUCAUGCUGAUGCUCAGGACAGGAUCAAAGCAGCAUCUUACCAGUUGUGUCUCAAGAUUGACAGGGCAGAAACUCGCUUAUGGUCCCCGCAGGUGUCGGAAGAUGGGAAAGCGCAUCCCUUUAAAAUCAACCUAGAGGCUGAACCGCAGGUAAGACGUUAAGAGGAAGUGAUGUCACAUCACAGUUCCGGUUCAGGGUGGAGUAGCUCCCUGGGGGAGGGGAAGGGGAAGAAGUAUCAAAUCGGAAACUCAGAGCAAGUCACCUGUGAAGCUGUGAUUGGUCUCUGUGAGAUUAAUUCCUAGGAUUCCUGUGUCCUUACAUCUAGGGAGAAACAGAGUGUCCCUAGGUAAAUAUCUCUCUUUAAAGAUUGAGUAUAUUCUCUGCUGGGCAUGUUAGUGCAUGUCUGUGGUCCCAGAGCUUAGGAGACAGAGGCAGAUUGCUGAAAGGUCAAUGCCAGUCCAAAACAGAAAGUUCCAGGCCAACUAGGGAUGCAUAUUGGGGCCAUGCCAUAC